GACGAACGCUGGCGGCGUGCUUAACACAUGCAAGUCGAACGGAAAGGCCCUGCUUUUGUGGGGUGCUCGAGUGGCGAACGGGUGAGUAACACGUGAGUAACCUGCCCUUGACUUUGGGAUAACUUCAGGAAACUGGGGCUAAUACCGGAUAGGAGCUCCUGCUGCAUGGUGGGGGUUGGAAAGUUUCGGCGGUUGGGGAUGGACUCGCGGCUUAUCAGCUUGUUGGUGGGGUAGUGGCUUACCAAGGCUUUGACGGGUAGCCGGCCUGAGAGGGUGACCGGCCACAUUGGGACUGAGAUACGGCCCAGACUCCUACGGGAGGCAGCAGUGGGGAAUAUUGCACAAUGGGCGGAAGCCUGAUGCAGCAACGCCGCGUGCGGGAUGACGGCCUUCGGGUUGUAAACCGCUUUCGCCUGUGACGAAGCGUGAGUGACGGUAAUGGGUAAAGAAGCUCCGGCUAAUUACGUG
rnacentral:rRNA from 1 species